UUGGGGAUAUUGCACAAUGGGCGAAAGCCUGAUGCAGCGACGCCGCGUGGGGGAUGAAGGCCUUCGGGUUGUAAACUUCUUUUGCUCUGAACAAGGCAUGCUAAUGGGUGUGUUGAGUGUAGGGGUUGAUUAGCGCCGGCUAACUACGUGCCAGCAGCCGCGGUAAUACGUAGGGCGCGAGCGUUGUCCGGAAUUAUUGGGCGUAAAGGGCUUGUAGGUGGCUGGUUGCGUCUGUCGUGAAAGCUCAUGGCUUAACUGUGGGUUUGCGGUGGGUACGGGCUGGCUUGAGUGCAGUAGGGGAGGCUGGAAUUGCUGGUGUAGCGGUGGAAUGAGCAGAUAUCAGGAGGAAUACCGGUGGAGAAGGCGGGUCUCUGGGCUGUUACUGACACUGAGGAGCGAAAGCAUGGGGAGCGAACAGG
rnacentral:rRNA from 1 species